rnacentral:lncRNA from 1 species
AGCAAUGAGAGCACAGGAGCCUGGGCCCCACUUCCCACCUUGCACCUGCUGUGGGAGGCCAUAUCAAUAGCUGUCUCCUUUAAGCCACUGUGUUCUGCAUCUCUGAUGUAGCAGCUGAGCUUACAUCCUUCCACUGUGAUGAGGAACUCAGAGGUCAGCUGGAAUUCAUGGGUGCGUGGCCUCGAACUGCCCCAAAAUGCGUUGGUCCAUGAGAAUUCAGAGUGACACCAACACCCAGGCGCUUGUGAUUCCUGGACCCCGUGAGCCCAGCUUCCUCUCAUGCCACUCUGGCCCGCACCACACCAUGCCCUCAAGUUCCCACAACAGUAACAACAACCCAGGGGACGUAGGUGGACUGAACUGACUUGAGCGAAAGAGAUUGGCUGAGUGCCUGGGUGGAGCAGGGCCAGUGACUCUCACACAGACUUUGUGAGAGACCUGGCUGGACCCCCAUGUCUCCUUCUCUCCACCCCAGGAGCCCAUUUUCCCCCAGCUGCCUGUGACAGCCAUGGAAUGCCCCUUGCGGCCCUCAACUCACACCAAGGAGCCCUGCCACAUCUGUAUGGCAGGAAAUUGAAAGGAGCCAUCCCUGGCAGACCAGAACUCCUCUAUCUUUGGAAAAUGUGGUACUCUUUCCUGACUUUCCACCAUUCAAUCUGUUCAAUCACUUUCUAUUUUUGCUGAAAUGUCUCUUGGUCUUCCAAAAGGCAGGAAUUUCUUCUUGGUCUCUCGACUGUUAAAUUGGUUCUAUUUAGCAUCUUCCUGGCAGUCAGGAGUGGUCUGAUUCCUGAGCUCAUUUUACCAGGGAGUUGCCUUUGGCUGCAAAUGAUUCACACCUUUUGAAGUAAUCAGAAGUAAUGAAAGAUCUUUUUUUUUUUUUUUAAUGGUUUUCUGACUGUGAUAAAGAUAACCUCUAAGUUCUCUUCCAGCUUAAUGUCUGACCUUGGGAACACAAACUAGGUGUCUGGUCACAGUAGCCUGGGCUUUGCCUCUAGGGGGUUCCUCUCUGGGCUUCAGAAUCUCAAUCCAAAAAUUGAUGGGGGUUGGGGUGGGCCAGAUCUAGGAUAUCAGAUCAUUUCAGUAAAGUGGCUGAGGCUGCCUGGAGAAAUAUGCUAAGACGGGCUCAGAAGGUCAUUAGGGAAAAGUGCUGUGAUCUAUUGGUAAUGUCUGCCAAGGCCGUGAGAGAGGCAAAUGGUAAGGACACAUUUUGUUGACUCGGGGCUAGACGAUCCUGAAGAGCCUUCUAGCUCUGUAACCCUGUCUGGCUCUCAUUUUCUCCUUCCCCACAGUUUAUGCUGAGAUUUUUAAGAGGCAGUCUAGUGCAGUUAAGAAAGUGGCCUCUGAUGGACCUGGUAGCUGUAUGACCUUGGGCUUGUGUUUCUUCAAAUACAAACAAUAAUGUUUUGCUGCUAGAAUUUCCCCUUGAAUAUAGAGCCAGAGUGAAAUCUUAUCUAUAUCCCUUUAUAAAUGAGUCUGUCCUGCUUUGUGCUUUAGAGAUGAAUAUAGACAUGGAUAUGGAUAUGGACAUAUAGAUAAGAAUAGUUUGCGUAGCUACAUAUAACACCAUAUACAUAUAGAAAUAUAUAUCCGUGCAUCCUCAUAUGUCUAUAAAGUGUGCCUAAUGCAUGCUAAUUCAUUCAUUCAGUCACUCAACACACAUAGAUGUUGCACAGCUACUAGGUGCCGGGCACUGUUGGGUGCUGAAGAUACAGCACAAGAACCAGACAGUAAGUCUCUGACUUCCUCAAGGAGUUUUUAUUCUAGGAAGAGAGCAAGACAAUAAGCAAAUGAGUAAAACUGUUUCCUGUACAUAAAGGUAGAAGCCUGCAGGAGGUGAGGGAACAGCACCCCAGGCAGAAAGAAUAGCAACUGCAAAGGCUCUAAAGCAGAAAUGAACUUGGCAGGUUCAAGGGACAGCACAAUGGCCAGAGUGGAAGGGACAUGUUGGCCAAGGGAAAGCAUCAUGGGAGAGAGGAUGAGAGGUCAGAGAGGCCAAGUCCUGAAGGGCUUUGUCACAGGUGAAGGUGUGGUUUGUGCCCUGAGUGGGAUGGAGGCUACUAGGAUUCUAAGCAGGGGAGGAACUUAGGUUUUAAAGGACCCUCUGGUUGCUGUGUGGCUAGAGAGUGUCUGAGGUUGGGAGGGAACACAGCAAGGUGGGGAGCCAGGAGCUGGAUCAAGAGGCUUUUGUAACAGCAAAGGGCAACAGGGGAUGGCGCCUCUGGCAGGGAUGGUGAAAGUGGGGAUGGGGAGAAGUGGCCAACUCACUGAUGGAGUUUGAAGAUGGAGCUCAAGGAAUUUAGGGACGGAUUUGGUCUCAGAGUGAGGGAAAGUUUUUAAAGAGGACUCCCAGGUAACACCCACAUUUUUGGCCUUGAGCAGCUGAUGAAAGGUGGAACCCAUUUACUAAGAAGGGAGGAGUAGGCAUGGGGCAAGGGGAUCAGGGUCCUGCUUGGACAAGUUAAGGUGCUCACUAGACCUGUAUUGGGGAGCCCAGAGCUGGAGAUAGAAAUUAGAUAUUAGUUGCUAAUACGUAUUUUAGGACUAUGCGCCAGAGCCAAGACUCAGCAUUUUGUAAGUUAAUACUCUGCUUUAAUCCCAUAAAAACAUUGUUGAACAAAUAACAUUUUUUAUUGCGUCAAAAACUCUCUUAGUUGUAUAGUCAUGUUCUGAUUUGAGAUCUGAUAGAAUGUGAAAAAUUGUGCAUCUUAGGAUUGAUGAGGUGUGGUCAUGUUGUUCCCGUCUUUCAGAUGAGGAAACUGAGGCUUAACUAGCUGGCUCAGGAUUUCAAAGCCAGUAACUGGCAGAGUUGGGCUUCCUGUUCUUGCCCUUUUUUUGUUACUUCUCCUGAUGCAUGUCAACUGCUUAGCAGGGUGACUGGCUCAUAGUCAGCCCCCUUAACGUGGUCACGAUUAUCAGCUGUUUAAUGCAUUGGAUCAUAGACACAUAUGUUCUGCGGGAUGCCAUGCAAUAGAAGUAAUGCACAAUGUACACACUGUACAAAGGUCAGGAGCGUAAAAAUAUCUUGGGGCUGAAAACACACAUUUGGGUGUAUGAUUGUGCAUCUUUUCAGACCAAACUCCUCUGGGCUUAAAUUUUGCAUGUAUUAAAGCAGGAAAAAAGACAUCAACUGUACUUCAAUGAAAAAAAAAAAAAA